AACGUGGGGUAACCUGCCCAAGAGACUGGGAUAACACCUGGAAACAGAUGCUAAUACCGGAUAACAACACUAGACGCAUGUCUAGAGUUUAAAAGAUGGUUCUGCUAUCACUCUUGGAUGGACCUGCGGUGCAUUAGCUAGUUGGUAAGGUAACGGCUUACCAAGGCAAUGAUGCAUAGCCGAGUUGAGAGACUGAUCGGCCACAUUGGGACUGAGACACGGCCCAAACUCCUACGGGAGGCAGCAG
rnacentral:rRNA from 1 species